GACGAACGCUGGCGGCGUGCUUAACACAUGCAAGUCGAACGGAAAGGCCCCUUUGGGGGUACUCGAGUGGCGAACGGGGGAGUAACACGUGAGUAACCUGCCCUUGACUUCGGGAUAACUUCAGGAAACUGGGGCCAAUACCGGAUAGGAAUCCUUGCUGCAAGGGGGGGGUUGGAAAGCUUCGGCGGUUUUGGAUGGACUCGCGGGUUAUCAGCUUGCUGGUGGGGUAGUGGCUUACCGAGGCGGGGACGGGUAGCCGGCCUGAGAGGGCGACCGGCCACCUUGGGACUGAGAUACGGCCCAGACUCCUACGGGAGGCAGCAGUGGGGAAUAUUGCACAAUGGGCGGAAGCCUGAUGCAGCAACGCCGCGUGCGGGAUGACGGCCUUCGGGUUGUAAACCGCUUUCAGCAGGGGCGAAGCUUGUGGUGACGGUACCUGCAGAAGAAGCACCGGCUAACUACGUG
rnacentral:rRNA from 1 species